GCUGGCCUGAAAAGUGUAGAGUAAAAUUAGGUAUGAAUAAUCGUUCGAAAUAUUUUCUAUGAAUUGAACAAAUUUUAAUCAGGCAUAUUUGUGGUACUGGCUACUUUCAAACUCCACUCUUCGACCUGAAGGUCUCGUGAUGUCAGCGAAACCGUACAAGUUUUCUUUCGCACGGGCCCAAUGUAUUGAACUAUGUCAAUUGAUUGUCACAGCAACAAAAGAGCGUUUACUAGGAUCACCGCUCAAAACUCACCGCUCUCAUAAUCGCUCAUAGUCUCAAUUUGGAAGUCUUUGUACAGUUGAGGCCUGAAUUUUCUCUCAAGGCCGUAGCUGUAA